rnacentral:lncRNA from 1 species
CUAGGAUGUCUAUCUUGCAAACAUGAUCUAAUCCAAUUAGACCCUUAAUAAGUUUUCUUGUGUGUAACCCAUUGGGUUCCAUACUUAGCCAGCAAUAGGUGUGAGUGCGAGUUGACCCAACUUGAUUAGAACUCUUCUAAUCGAUUUAAGUCCAAACUGCGCGAAUCCGAACUUAACAAUUAGAAUCCUUUCUAAUUGGUGAUCGAAUCAAACUCUUUAAUUCGAUCAAACCUAUAAGACAAGAUUGACGUCUAGCAACGUGUCAUGUCUAUCCGAAAAAUAUGAAAUUUGGUGGAAAUACCAAAAAUAUCCUUCAGUGGCAAGUU